rnacentral:rRNA from 1 species
AUAAUCCCGGGAAACUGGGGGUAUUGCUUUUUAGUCCGGGGAAACUGGAAUGUUUUCCCGGAUGAAAGAUCGGUCGCCUCAGGGAUGAGUCUGCGCCGGAUUAGGUAGUUGUUGGGGUAAAAGCCCAACCAAGCCGGUAAAUCGGUACGGGGUUGUGGGAGCAGGAACCCCGGAGAUGGAUUUNUGAGACACGAAUCCAGGCCCUUACGGGGCGCAGCAGGCGCGAAAACUUUACAAUGCGGGGCAACCGUGAUAAGGAAACCCCGAGUGCCAGCACAGGCUGGCUGUCCCACCAGUGUAAACAACUGGUGAAGAAAGGGCCGGGCAAGACCGGUGCCAGCCGCCGCGGUAAUACCGGCGGCUCGAGUGGUGGCCGCUUUUACUGGGCUUAAAGGGUCCGUAGCUGGAUUCACAAGUCCCUUGAGAAAUCUAUCGGCUUAACUGAUAGGCGUUCAGGGGAUACUGUGGUUCUAGGGACCGGGAGAGGUGAGAGGUACUGCCGGGGUAGGAGUGAAAUCCUGUAAUCCCGGUGGGACGACCUAUAGCGAAGGCAUCUUACCAGAACGGCUCCGACAGUGAGGGACGAAAGCUGGGGGAGCAAACCGGAUUAGAUACCCGGGU